GACGAACGCUGGCGGCGUGCCUAAUACAUGCAAGUUGAGCGCUGAAGGUUGGUACUUGUACCGACUGGAUGAGCAGCGAACGGGUGAGUAACGCGUGGGGAAUCUGCCUUUGAGCGGGGGACAACAUUUGGAAACGAAUGCUAAUACCGCAUAAAAACUUUAAACACAAGUUUUAAGUUUGAAAGAUGCAAUUGCAUCACUCAAAGAUGAUCCCGCGUUGUAUUAGCUAGUUGGUGAGGUAAAGGCUCACCAAGGCGAUGAUACAUAGCCGACCUGAGAGGGUGAGCGGCAACAUUGGGACUGGGACACGGCCCAAACUCCUACGGGAGGCAGCAGGAGGGAAUCUUCGGCAAUGGACGAAAGUCUGACCGAGCAACGCCGCGUGAGUGAAGAAGGUUGUCGGAUCGUAAAACUCUGUUGGUAGAGAAGAACGUUGGUGAGAGUGGAAAGCUCAUCAAGUGACGGUAACUACCCAGAAAGGGACGGCUAACUACGUG
rnacentral:rRNA from 1 species